GAGAUAUUCUAUAACAAGGCUUCUUUUUACCACCCCAAAUAAUAUAUUUAUUAAUUAAUAUACCAAUAUUAUUUAUUACACUUUUAAGAUUGACUAAGUUGUUUUAUGUUAUUUAAUAUUAGAUCGUGUUUGUGGAAUUAGACAGAAGAGAACUUACUAUAAAACUGAAAGAAACAAUCUUUUGAUCACUUACAAGUCUUUCCCAAAUUAUAAAACUGAAGAGUUCUCUCUAGUGUACAGAGUUGUUUGCAACGGAACCAUUGAAGGAGAUUACGGCAGAUUGCAAAAUCCGAACUACGACCAUCCUUAUCCAUACGAUUCCAUAUGUCAAUGGGUGCUGGCUGUUCCCAUAGGCCAAGUCGUUUUAAGUUUUGAAACAUUUUACAUUAAUGACGACGAAGAUUGCCAGUCUGACUACAUCGAAGUUAUUGAUGGUGACAUCGAUUCCGGUAAAGUAAUCUUGGAUAAAGUCUGUGGUAAUAAAGUGCCCGAUGUUAUCGUAUCUACCAACAACAAGCUAACUGUCACUUACGUAUCGAAAAACAAAAAUAAGAAAAAUAAAUUUUCAGCCAAUUUUAUAGA